UCCGCUUCGUCCCAUUUGCUACCCACCCCUCCCCAAAACCUCCCUCUCCCUCUCUCUCUCCUUCAGAGGUAUUUAUCGCCGGAUCUGUUCCUCUCCCUAUAAAAGGCCCAUUUGUUUGGAAUUUUUCCGCCUACGUCACCAUUUCCCGCCCAAAUCCGUCCGUCUCCGACCUCCAAUCGCCCGAGCUGAGAGGAUUUGCGGCGUCGCCGGCGGAUUUUAUGUCGAAUUGGGUCAGAUCGUGAGAUCAUUAUGUCUCGUUCGUUCCUGCUACGGUUUGAUCAUAUUUUCUGCUUCCAGUCCCCGGAGUGACCCGGCAAAUUAAUAGAUCGUGCUGAUCCUUUUAUAUUUGUCGGCUGCGUAUUAGAUUUCCGCUAUUUGGCCUGUUGUUGAUUUGGAGGAGCAAAUAUUUGGUGAUUUCUGUGUGUCGGUGGAAUAUUUUUUAAGAUCGGUCCUUUAUAGAUCGAGUAAGGUCAUUUGAGGAGAUUGGAAAUAUAAAGGUGCGAUUUUGAAGAGCGUUGAUUGGGUUGAGGAGAAGCGAAGCUAUAUAUAUUCUAGAACGUUGGUGUUGAUUGAUUAUUUAGGAGGAAGAUUUGGAAAGUGGAGCAUGGCUGAUCAGGGCCUGGAAGGGAGCCAACCGGUCGAUCUCUCCAAGCACCCUUCUGGCAUUGUUCCCACGCUUCAGAAUAUUGUUUCAACUGUUAAUUUGGACUGCAAGUUGGAUCUUAAAGCAAUUGCUCUACAAGCUCGUAAUGCUGAGUACAACCCCAAGCGUUUUGCCGCGGUUAUUAUGAGAAUAAGAGAGCCAAAAACUACUGCAUUAAUAUUUGCAUCAGGAAAAAUGGUCUGUACUGGAGCGAAGAGUGAGCACCAAUCCAAACUUGCAGCAAGGAAGUACGCCAGAAUAAUUCAAAAACUUGGUUUUCCUGCUAAAUUUAAGGAUUUCAAGAUUCAGAAUAUUGUCGGUUCAUGUGAUGUCAAAUUUCCAAUAAGACUUGAGGGCCUUGCAUAUUCUCACGGUGCCUUUUGCAGUUAUGAACCAGAGCUCUUCCCUGGUCUGAUCUACCGGAUGAAGCAGCCAAAGAUUGUGCUCCUCAUAUUCGUCUCAGGAAAAAUUGUUAUUACUGGAGCUAAGGUGAGAGAUGAGACAUAUACAGCAUUUGAGAACAUAUAUCCAGUUCUAACUGAGUUCAGGAAAAGCCAGCAAUGAUAAGAUCAACAAGCCUGACAGUUCUUUCACCUAUGCUUUUAAAUAUCUGCAUGCAGUAAGUACUGAUCCGAGCAAGGACCGGUAUUGUAUUGGUCAGUGUAAUUUUUGAAAUAUUUUUUCCAGCUGAUAUUGGGUGAUUCAGUUUGGUUUAUUGUUGGUACACAUCGGUACUGAAGCCGGGAUUCACGCUUUAUUUACUAUCUAGUCAGCUUAUAUUGAUGUAAAAUGUGUGUUUGUUGAGCAGAUUUCCAUCAGACUGGUGGUAAUAUCCUGGAGUCAGAUCUGUGCAAAUGGAAGACAUCCUUGGGGCGACACGAGCGAGGGAGCUAAGUUAAUACCUGUACUCUCGUCUGCAGCGAUCUCAGAUAUUGCCACCAUUGAUACGAAUGAUCUGCCCAUUCACCCACUCUCCGUCAUCGCUGGCCAAGAAGCCCACCAGCGGCGCCACGUCCUCCGGCUGUCCCAGCCGGCCCAGCGGUAUCUCCGCCGUGCACGCUGACACGGCCUCCUCCGAUUGCCCGGCGUAGAACAUGGGCGUCGCCGUCGCACCCGGGGCCACCCCGUUAGCCGUGAUGCGCGUCCCCUUCAGCUCCUUCGCUAGCACCCUCGUCAUCACCUCGACUGCAGCCUUCGUCGCUGCGUACGUCCCGAAUCCCGGCCUGAGCCCCCCCACCCCCGACGACGAGAAGGUGAUGAUCCGCCCGCCGCCGCCCCGGACCAGGCGGUUCGCCGCCUCCCGGCAGCAGAGAAACGUGCCUUUGGCGUUCACGCCGAACAUCUGAUCGAAGAUUUCCUCGGUGGUGUCGACUAUCGAUGGGUAUCGGGCGUCGUUGACGGCGGCAGCGGUUACGAGUAUGUGCAGGUCGGCGCCGAAGGUAGCUUCAGCUGCGUCGAACAGGGACUUGACUUGGGCGGAGUUGGAAACAUCGGCGGAGACCGCUAUGGCCCGGGGGCCGCCGGAGUGGCCAUCGCCAGCCCCGUAAGUCGUGUUGAUCGCCUCCGCCAACUUCUCCGCCGGGCUCGGGUCGCCGACGUAGCCGAUGACGACGCUUGUGCCAAGGGAGGCGAGGUGGGCCGAGACCGCCGAGCCGAUGCCACCUGCGCCGCCUGUCACGAUCGCCACGCGGCCUUUCAACGGCUGCAGGCGGUGUUCCAUCGCUGCGGUGCCGGCAGCCGCCAUAUCUCCCCACUCACAGCCUGUGCCUUUGUUUCUCUUCGCAGGAGAGCUCUAAGGCAACUGGCUGUAGCAGCGUCGGAUAAGGGGAAACGACCAUCGAGAAUUCUGGUCUACUUGUCGCCGGUCAACCACAACAGUCUGCCGACAGCUACUGCAUCCAUGGCGUCAACAUGAACGGCGGACUCAUGCAUCACCUCGGAGGUAUAAAUAUCUAAUGCUUACAAAGUAGUAGCAAAACUAAUUGAGCAUUGGAUUCAAAUCAUUAUCAAAGAACUGGGAGUCGAAUUAAUCGAUCUUGUACUCUAUUUUCUUUUCUAUGUCAGCAUAGUGCAUUCUAAGACAUAAA